CUCUGUUUCGUAAUGAAUCAGGGCGGAAGGAG
rnacentral:ncRNA from 1 species